UGUAGUCAUAUGCUUGUCUCAAAGAUUAAGCCAUGCAUGUCUAAGUAUAAGCAAUUAUACCGCGAAACUGCGAAUGGCUCAUUAAAUCAGUUAUCGUUUAUUUGAUAGUACCUUACUACAUGGAUAACCGUGGUAAUUCUAGAGCUAAUACAUGCUAAAAAUCCCGACUUCGGAAGGGAUGUAUUUAUUAGAUUAAAAACCAAUGCCCUUCGGGGCUCUCUGGUGAUUCAUAAUAACUUCUCGAAUCGCACGGCCUUGCGCCGGCGAUGGUUCGUUCAGAUUUCUGCCCUAUCAACUUUCGACGGCUGGGUCUUGGCCAGCCGUGGUGACAACGGGUAACGGAGGGUUAGGGCUCGACCCCGGAGAAGGAGCCUGAGAAACGGCUACUACAUCCAAGGAAGGCAGCAGGCGCGCAAAUUACCCAAUCCCGACACGGGGAGGUAGUGACAAUAAAUACUGAUACAGGGCUCUUUCGGGUCUUGUAAUUGGAAUGAGUACAAUUUAAAUCCCUUAACGAGGAACAAUUGGAGGGCAAGUCUGGUAAUCG
rnacentral:rRNA from 1 species